rnacentral:rRNA from 1 species
GUCCUCUUGAUGAUAUUUUGAGGUCUGGCCUGCUCACUGACAAGGUUUUGAAGAGCCGCGGUAUUUUGACCGUGCAAAGGUAGCAUAAUCAUUAGUCUCUUAAUUAGGGGCUGGAAUGAAUGGCUUGACGAGAAAUCAACUGUCUCUUAAUAAUUUUUAUAAUUUAACUUUUGAGUCAAAAGGCUUAAAUUUUUCUUUAGGACGAGAAGACCCUAUAGAGCUUAACAUUUUAUUUUUAUAUAGUUUUUAGUUGAUCUUUCUAUAUUUAAUGAUAAUGUUUUGUUGGGGUGACAUGAAGAAUAAUUAAACUCUUCAUUAUAAAAUCAUUGAUUUAUGUUUAUCAUGAUCCAUAAUUUAUGAUCAUAAGAUUAAGUUACCUUAGGGAUAACAGCGUAAUUGUUUUCGAGAGCUCAUAUCGACAAAGCAGAUUGCGACCUCGAUGUUGGAUUAAGAAAAAUUUUGGGUGCAGGAGCCCAAUAAUUAGGUCUGUUCGACCUUUAAAUUCUUACA